AUUGAACGCUGGCGGCAUGCCUUACACAUGCAAGUCGAACGGUAACAGGUCUUCGGAUGCUGACGAGUGGCGAACGGGUGAGUAAUACAUCGGAACGUGCCUAGUAGUGGGGGAUAACUACUCGAAAGAGUGGCUAAUACCGCAUGAGAUCUACGGAUGAAAGCAGGGGAUCGCAAGACCUUGUGCUACUAGAGCGGCCGAUGGCAGAUUAGGUAGUUGGUGGGAUAAAAGCUUACCAAGCCGACGAUCUGUAGCUGGUCUGAGAGGACGACCUGCCACACUGGGACUGAGACACGGCCCAGACUCCUACGGGAGGCAGCAGUGGGGAAUUUUGGACAAUGGGCGAAAGCCUGAUCCAGCAAUGCCGCGUGCAGGAUGAAGGCCUUCGGGUUGUAAACUGCUUUUGUACGGAACGAAAAGCCCCGGGUUAAUACCCUGGGGUCAUGACGGUGCCGUAAGAAUAAGCACCGGCUAACUACGUGCCAGCCGCCGCCGUAA
rnacentral:rRNA from 1 species